rnacentral:rRNA from 1 species
GGUUGAUCCUGCCAGUAGUCAUAUGCUUGUCUCAAAGAUUAAGCCAUGCAUGUCUAAGUAUAAACUUUUAUACAGUGAAACUGCGAAUGGCUCAUUAAAUCAGUUAUAGUUUAUUUGAUAAUCUCUUACUACUUGGAUAACCGUGGUAAUUCUAGAGCUAAUACAUGCAUUAAGACCCGACGCAAGAAGGGUUGUAUUUAUUAGAUAAAAACCAUCGCACUUUGUGCUUUUUGGUGAUUCAUAAUAACUUUACCGAUCGCAUGACCUUGUGUCGGCGACGUAUCAUUCAAAUU